rnacentral:rRNA from 1 species
UACGUAGGGUCCGAGCGUUGUCCGGAAUUAUUGGGCGUAAAGGGUUCGUAGGCGGUCUGUCACGUCGGGAGUGAAAACUCAGGGCUCAACCCUGAGCGUGCUUCCGAUACGGGCGGACUAGAGGUAUGCAGGGGAGAACGGAAUUCCUGGUGUAGCGGUGGAAUGCGCAGAUAUCAGGAGGAACACCGGUGGCGAAGGCGGUUCUCUGGGCAUUACCUGACGCUGAGGAGCGAAAGCAUGGGGAGCGAACAGG